UGGCCGUAAACGAUGUGGACUUGGUGUUGGAAUGGCUCCGAGCUGCUCCAGUGCCGAAGGGAAGCUGUUAAGUCCACCGCCUGGGAAGUACGGUCGCAAGACUGAAACUUAAAGGAAUUGGCGGGGGGAGCACCACAACGGGUGGAGCCUGCGGUUUAAUUGGACUCAACGCCGGGAAGCUCACCGGAUAAGACAGCGGAAUGAUUGCCGGGCUGAAGACCCUGCAUGACCAGCUGAGAGGAGGUGCAUGGCGUAGUCGUGU
rnacentral:rRNA from 1 species